UCUUGGUCAUUUAGAGGAAGUAAAAGUCGUAACAAGGUUUCCGUAGGUGAACUGCGGAAGGAUCAUUAUCGAAUCUAAAUCUGAAGAGGUAGAGAGACUGUAGCUGGCUGGAUCUAGUCUUUCUAGUCUGGCAUGUGCACGUCCCCUCACCUUUUCUAUCUACACACACCUGUGCACCUAUUGUAGAUCCCCUCUUGAAAGAGAAGGGAACUAUGUUUUCAUCACAUCACACACAUUGUAUGUCCAGAAUGUAAAUUUGUCAAUCAUUGAUUUGAUUGAUGAUAAAACAUAUAUAAUACAACUUUCAGCAACGGAUCUCUUGGCUCUCGCAUCGAUGAAGAACGCAGCGAAUUGCGAUAAGUAAUGUGAAUUGCAGAUUUCCAGUGAAUCAUCGAAUCUUUGAACGCACCUUGCGCUCCUUGGUAUUCCGAGGAGCAUGCCUGUUUGAGUGUCAUCGAAUUCUCAACCAAUCUCUCUUGAUUAAUCUUUAAUCUUCAAGGGGAGCUAUGGCUUGGAGUUGGGAGUUGCUGGCAUGACUGUCAGCUCUCCUUAAAUGUAUUAGCAAUCGAGUUGGCUAGUCUUUGACGUGCACGGCCUCAGACGUGAUAAUGAUCGUCGUAGCUGGAGCGUCUUUUCUAGACUAUGCACAUAGAUCGCUUCUAAUCAGAAUGGGAAGCAAAGAGUAGAGCAAAUAGUCCACAUUGAUCAUGAUCUAUAAUCUAUCAAGCUUAGCUACUAGGCAGUCUCCUGAGGCUGGCGAACACAAGCAAGAAGGAUUAGGAUUAGGAUUAGGAUGAAAUGCUUGAUCCUUUUUUCUCUACUUUCAGAGACUUGACCUCAAAUCAGGUAGGACUACCCGCUGAACUUAAGCAUAUCAAUAA
rnacentral:rRNA from 1 species